rnacentral:rRNA from 1 species
GCUUGCUGCUUCGCUGACGAAGUGGCGGACGGGUGAGUAAUGUCUGGGAAACUGCCUGAUGGAGGGGGAUAACUACUGGAAACGGUAGCUAAUACCGCAUAACGUCGCAAGACCAAAGAGGGGGACCUUCGGGCCUCUUGCCAUCGGAUGUGCCCAGAUGGGAUUAGCUUGUUGGUGGGGUAACGGCUCACCUAGGCGACGAUCCCUAGCUGGUCUGAGAGGAUGACCAGCCACACUGGAACUGAGACACGGUCCAGACUCCUACGGGAGGCAGCAGUGGGGAAUAUUGCACAAUGGGCGCAAGCCUGAUGCAGCCAUGCCGCGUGUAUGAAGAAGGCCUUCGGGUUGUAAAGUACUUUCAGCGGGGAGGAAGGGAGUAAAGUUAAUACCUUUGCUCAUUGACGUUACCCGCAGAAGAAGCACCGGCUAACUCCGUGCCAGCAGCCGCGGUAAUACGGAGGGUGCAAGCGUUAAUCGGAAUUACUGGGCGUAAAGCGCACGCAGGCGGUUUGUUAAGUCAGAUGUGAAAUCCCCGGGCUCAACCUGGGAACUGCAUCUGAUACUGGCAAGCUUGAGUCUCGUAGAGGGGGGUAGAAUUCCAGGUGUAGCGGUGAAUGCGUAGAGAUCUGGAGGAAUACCGGUGGCGAAGGCGGCCCCCUGGACGAAGACUGACGCUCAGGUGCGAAAGCGUGGGGGAGCAAACAGGAUUAGAUACCCUGGGUA